UACGUAGGGCGCAAGCGUUGUCCGGAAUUAUUGGGCGUAAAGAGCUCGUAGGCGGCUUGUCACGUCGGGUGUGAAAGCCCGGGGCUUAACCCCGGGUCUGCAUUCGAUACGGGCAGGCUAGAGUGUGGUAGGGGAGGAUCGGAAUUCCUGGUGUAGCGGUGAAAUGCGCAGAUAUCAGGAAGAACACCCGUGGCGAAAGCGGCUCUCUGGAACGGUACUGACGCUGAGACGCGAAAGCGUGGGGAGCGAACAGG
rnacentral:rRNA from 1 species